GGCCGGUCUCACCUUUAUUAAUUGGAGGGAAUGUACCUGAACAGAUGCUCCUGUAGGGGUCAGUUUUUCCAAGUCUCCAAAUGCAAUACAUAGCUAAUGAGACUGUCGACAUACUGAGAUGUCAGGAGUCCACGAAGAUGCUUUGCUAGCUGUGGCUACAGUCAAGUGAGAAAGCAUUGUGCUUUGUGAUGCAGUAUACUUGGCCUAAUGAUGCUUUGGCAGCCGAGGUUUGCUGUCAGGAGCCAUUAAAGCAUUCAUACAAAUACUGCUGUGCACUAGGUGCAGAGACAGCAGCUCCCAGCAUGUCACUGAUUGAUGUAUGGAAUGAUCACUGGAUGGAAAGAUGGAUGGAGGAGCAGGUGACAAGAAGGGUCAACAAAGGAAUCAUUAAUGAAAUGGAUGGAUGGAGAGAAGGAUGGAUUGAUGGACAGAUGGGAUGGACAGACAAGUAGAUGGACAUACAGAUGGAUGGAUGUACAGAUGGAUGAAAAGACAGUGGAUGAGUCACCACAACACCGCCACUGUCCUGCUGGUGCCAGCACUGUCCUAAAUCCACCCAGCCGCAGAUCUUCUCUCUACUUCGAAGACCAGUGUGCCCCCAGGCCUCCACGGGGACCAGUGGGGGUGGUCCUGGGGUACAGAACCCUCAUCCCAUUGGCUGGAGACACUCCGUUGGCUGCUACAAAAACCUGGAACCUUUGGAGGAGGCUCAGCUCUGCGGCACCGGCAUGGAACCAGACUGAUGCCUCUUCUGUUUUGAGAAGCCGGAGGUCCAACAAGCUAUUCUUUCUUUAGCCAAGACGAUGCCCUGCUGCUGUGUCUCCUUCUCUCUAACAGCUGGUGACCAGACACCACAGCCCAGGAUCAAACCUUCUAUGUUUCUGAGUCAGAGGUCUCUGGAAUCUCUCAGAAUUUCCUGCCUGCUAUACAAGGUCAUAAUUGAGAAGUUAGGGCUACAUGAACAUAUAAUUGUUUCUACAAGAACAUAAGACCAUAGCAAAUCAAAAGACCCUCCACCUAAAUGUUGUCUUAACAAGAAUAGUAAUUGUUUAAUAGCAGUACAAAUACAUAGAGCAUUUGGGAAAAACAUUAACAACUGUCUACAACGGUAAACUAUAUAGAAUUAUCUUUACUGUGUGAGGUACUUGGCUCAUGGAUUUGCUUGUGCAUGAGAGGCCACACUGCAAAGCUACAACUGAGCAUGCACUUGGCCUAGUUAACUCUGUCAGGUAACAAUAUUUUGUUUGUGAGUGAAAAAGUUUAUUUGAUAGAGAUAUCUGCAUGGAAGCUUGACUCAGCCAUGAAGUAAGGAUGUAUCUUUAGAGCUCUGCAGUGUAGCUGUAAUGUGUUGCUACAAGUCAGCUAAGAUAAUGUCAAGCCAAGUUUUCUGCAUACUAUAAUGUGAUGUAUUUUUCAAUCUCGUUGUGCUGAAACAAAAGCAGUCAUGUCCUCCUUCUCAUUUGCUCUGACAGAACUGCGUGCACAGAGUUAGUCACUGCUGGGAGCAUUGAUUGUGCCAGGAUGAGUUUUCUGAGCUGUGAAGUGUGAACCAGCAUCAAACCCGUACUAAGGGCUUCCUCCCCAUAAGGAUCUAAACUGUCGUUGCUGUCUUUGGCUGUUGCAGUCAUUUCAUUACUCUGACCACCAUGUAGCAAACCUAGAGAUUAGAAAGCAAGUCACUUGGUUGUGGUUUCUUGGGUGGUCAAGACACGUGUAAUCGAGUAUAUUUCUCAGGAACUGUCUGUCAGGGUUCUGGCAUGGUUCGGCCUAGAACUGUGAUUAAUGGGGUGGAGGGACCCACGGACUUACUACUCUUACUUAUACACCAUUCUAAAUGCAUGCAGCCCGUUGGAGAACAUUAACCAUUGUAAGUAAUAUCAAUACAUAUAGCAAAAUUCAAUAAUGAUGGCUAUACUAAUAAGCUGAAUAUAGCUUGAUGGACAAAAUCUAUCAAUUCUUACAGGUAUUUAAAAGGAUCAAAGAGGUAGAGAUGGGAAAUCUGAAUAGUAUUUAACAUUUCCCAAGAUGUUUCCAACAUCUGCGUGUCUAUCAGUAUUUUGUAGCACUGGUAUAGGUUGGCUUAGCAAUAGGGAUCAAUAUAUUAGCUUAAGGACCAAUAUAUUAGUUUAGCAAAAAGGAAUUAAUAUGUGAUAAUUCUAGAAUUUUCCAGUUUAGCUUUGCUUGGUAUGAACAGUCUUGUUUUUCUGAAUGAUCCCUGCUUCGCUGAAGUGCUGAAGUCACAAUAGGCUACUUCUGUCUUUGUAUCUGUCACGUGCAAGGACUUUUUCCUGGGUUUCAUGUAAAUUGUUUUGAGUUAUAGCACACCAAGACAGAAGGUUGCUCAUUAUGGCAUAACAAGCCAUGGAAAUUUGCCAAAUUGGGGAAAAACAGCUAAAAGGUCAGCCACAGGACACUGUGAUGAAGCUGAAGGAGAAAUAAAGGGGAGGAAGCAGGUGGUAGUAUGAGCACCAUAGACAUAACCGCUCAUGCUCAGAGGGACGCUAGCACAUAUUAAUGAGUUCUUGGAAAAGAAUGAAUAUGUAUGCCAGUGUAUUGCACUUGCAUGUCUUAACUGUUUAAAUGCAGAACCUGAACUCAGAGCAUGCGCUUGAUUUGUCAAGUUGCCUGGUACGUAUUGCAAGAGUAAAGGAAUGCCACUUCUAAGAUCACAUUGGAGUUAGAGAUUUUCUUCCCAGAUUUUUCCAGUGACAGCACAAAUAGAGAAUAUUCUGCGUCGCAAUGAGACAAGGGAAUUGAGAUUAAAUAUGAAGAAGUUCGAGAGAGGAACUCACAACAACUUAAACUCGAGGGGCUGCACCUCUACAGAUGAGGGCUUUGUUAUAGACUCAGGAUCCUAGGUCUUCAGGUAUGGUAGUGGAAGCAGUAGAGUCUGCAAAUCGGUAAAAAGACAAAUAUUAAUAUGCAAUUAAACCUUUUCUCUAGAUGGAACAGCGUAAAUAGAUUCCAACUUUAAGCAGAUGUACGAUGCAGACAUAAACUUCUCCAGACUUAGAUGUGUGUAGCUGUGAUCAGGUUGCAAUACCUCAACUCAGGUACUUUGUCGUUGGUCUUACUUUCAGAAAGAAAAUUAAAAGUACUUCCAACAAAAUAGACAAAUUCUUCAUUGUGGAUUGUUUAUUUGUUAGUUUUAAAACUCUGUAUGAUCUUUUCUUUGGUUUUUGUUGUUUGUAUUGAAAAUGGAAUUGUGGCAACCCAACUCACCCUGCUGACACCUUCUGCCUUCACCACUCGUGCAGCUGGGAGCUGAAGGGGUUUUCCUCUCCCAGGUUCCUGCACACAGAGCACCUGUUGAUGACAACAGUCAUUAUUUCCACAUACCUUCUUUAACAAGAAAGUCAAUUUAGGAAUCAAACAUCUAACAAUAAAACCCUUUGUUUCCUCUGA